UACGUAGGAGGCGAGCGUUGUCCGGAUUUACUGGGUGUAAAGGGUCCGCAGGCGGGAUGGUAAGUUGGUGGUGAAAUCCUACGGCUUAACCGUAGAACUGCCUCCAAAACUGCCGUUCUUGAAUAUAGGAGAGGGCAGCGGAAUUCCAGGUGUAGCGGUGAAAUGCUUAGAUAUCUGGAAGAACGCCGGUAGCGAAGGCUGCUGCCUGGCCUAUUAUUGACGCUCAUGGACGAAAGCGUGGGGAUCAAACAGG
rnacentral:rRNA from 1 species